GAGCUGCUCUCCAGUGGCAGUUGGUUGUAUUUGCUGUGAUUCGAUCACUUCUUGUUGUUGUAUAAAACAAAGUACUGGCUUCAAUAGCAUCAUUUCCAUUUGAUAUUUUGGAUAGUUUUGUUUACUUUUAUUUGUAAUAUCUUUAUAUAAUAUAUAAUUAACAUGGGUUUUGUUUGGUGGCCCAACCGUGGACAUACAAAAAAAUUGGCGGCCCAUCGAAACUGCCCAAAAAUGUUCCAUGGCCCAUCCCAAAUCACUCCAGCCCACCCUAGCAGUUACUUUAUGACCGAUCCCUAA